GAUGAACGCUGGCGGCGUGCCUAAUACAUGCAAGUCGAGCGAACAGACGAGGAGCUUGCUCCUCUGACGUUAGCGGCGGACGGGUGAGUAACACGUGGAUAACCUACCUAUAAGACUGGGAUAACUUCGGGAAACCGGAGCUAAUACCGGAUAAUAUAUUGAACCGCAUGGUUCAAUAGUGAAAGACGGUUUUGCUGUCACUUAUAGAUGGAUCCGCGCCGCAUUAGCUAGUUGGUAAGGUAACGGCUUACCAAGGCAACGAUGCGUAGCCGACCUGAGAGGGUGAUCGGCCACACUGGAACUGAGACACGGUCCAGACUCCUACGGGAGGCAGCAGUAGGGAAUCUUCCGCAAUGGGCGAAAGCCUGACGGAGCAACGCCGCGUGAGUGAUGAAGGUCUUCGGAUCGUAAAACUCUGUUAUGAGGGAAGAACAAAUGUGUAAGUAACGAUGCACGUCUUGACGGUACCUAAGCAGAAAGCCACGGCUAACUACGU
rnacentral:rRNA from 1 species